AGAGCCCACCCGUUUCUAUUUAUAGUGGAGCCGGCGUGCGUCUGGAAGCGGUGGGGUUGCUUUUUUUGUAGUGGUGCCGCUGAGGCACCUGCCCGCCCCUUUCCUGCGCCUCCGCAACGUCGGCUGCGAAUGAGUCUCCUAAAGGACGCCCGGGAGGAUCGGAAACAGCUCAGUCCCGGCGCGGGCAGUGUCCUGCGCUCCUCCCCGGGGUCUGGCCGGGGUGGGCCCGAGGCCCCCGGGCGCCCGGUUACCGCCGCGGGCGCGUCUGCGUCCUGACCGCGGAGGGACCCGCGGGCCGGGCCGUACCAGUGAUGCAAGAUGGUCCUUUCUGAGCAGAGCUCCCCUCGUUCAGUGCUCCUUUGUUUCACCUAGAAGAUCUUCUUGAGGGGACUGUGUGGCCAGUGCAGCUCAGGCCUCCCCACCCUGCACCUUUCAACAGAAGAGCAGCUGACGCAGGGGGCCCUCAACACGCUCACCCAAAAGUCAGUGAGAUUCUGCACCGGCCCACUAGCCUUCCAAUUGUAAACUAAAAAUAAAAUCUUGGCCAGGCACGGUGGCUCAUGCCUGUAAUCCCCGCACUUUGGGAGGCAGAGGCAGGUGGAUCACCCUGAGGUCAGGGGUUCGAGACCAGCCUGGCCAACAUGGCAAAACCCCGUCUCUACUAAAAAUACGUAAAAAUUAGCCGGGCGUGGUGGCACACACCUGUAAUUCCAGCUACUCGGGAGGCUGAGGCAGGAGAAUCGCUUGAACCUGGGAGGCAGAAGUUGCAGUGAGCUGAGAUCGUGCCACUGCACUCCAGCCUGGGUGACAGUGAGACUCCAUCUCAAAAAAAAAAAAAAUCCUAAGCCCCCCAAUUACUGAAAAGACCCUUCUUGGCCAAGGGGUCCCGGAGACACCUUAAAAACCGAGUUUCCAGCCAGGCGUGGUGGCUCACACCUGUAAUCCCAGCACUUUGGGAGGCCAAGGCGGGUGGAUCGCCUGAGGUCAGGAGUUCAAGACCAGCCUGGCCAACAUGGCAAAACCCCAUCUCUACUGAAAAUACAAAAAAAUUAGCCGGGUGUCGUGGUGGAUGCCUGUAAUUUCAGCGACUCGGGAGGCUGAGGCAGGAAAAUUGCUUAAAUCUGUUUCAGUGAGCCAAGAUCGCACCACUGCACUCUAGCCUGGGCAACAGAGUGAGACUCCAUCUCAAAAAAAAAAAACCAAAAAACUGAGUUUCCAGCCGUGACGGGAUGGUAGGUCAGAGGCAUCUACCUACCCCUCCCUUGUGUGGUUUAGACAGAACUGACCGGUGUUCAUGUCAAAAUAGAGAUCAUAAGACUAAGAACAGGCCCUGUGGCAAUAAAAUACCAAAUUAUAAAACAGGACCUCAGGCCAGGCCUGGCGAAAGUAAGUUGUGCAUCCCUGCACGUGAAGAAUCAACUCUGUUCUAAAGGCCGUAGGUUUCUCUUUUUCUGUAGCAGCUGAACAAUCACUAGCCUCAAGAUAAGCAGCAUUAAAACAACCGCAGCUCCUCCCCCUGCCAACCCUGACCCCACACCCCUGCUCCGCCAGCCGACCCUGGCCCCACACCCCUGCUCCGCCAGCCGACCCUGGCCCCACACCCCUGCUCCGCCAGCCAUAACUAGAGCUUUCCUUGGACAAGAAACUCAUUUCAGUAAUUUUUCCCUGAUAAGAGACCCUGACCAUAGACGGGUUCUGGUUGGUUUACAGAGAUUGUGCCCUCAUGUGCCUUUGUGUCCUGAAAAGACCUUUUGAGGUCUACCACCUAAUUGUAAUACGUUUACAUGUUGCCUCCAUCCCAAGGUGAACACGGGUCAUAUGUAACAUACAUGUCUAUCCAGCACACAUGUCCAAAUAAACAUGCAUGCAUAUUCACAACGCC
rnacentral:lncRNA from 1 species